rnacentral:lncRNA from 1 species
AUGCAUAGAAUUAACACUAUUGAAUUGUCAAACCUCCUCGCGCGGCCGUUUCGUGCCGGGCCAAGCCCCCGGCUGACACAACCACCAUGCCACAAGAGUUUUGCUGUUCUGCCUUUGCUGUGCGCUGCCUGGCGCAUCCUGCCUGCGGUGCGUGAGGAGCUGAUCACCACCUCACGCUUCACUGAAGACGUCGCCAGUGACCAAGGAGAGCCUAAAUCUCCAAUUGAUAUCAAAUGUGGAGCAGACAGCCCUGUGAUGCUCGGAGGAAUCGGUGUCAGCGGAUCAGACAGCCCACGAGGGGCCGUGGCUCCUUCCCACGUGGCAGGGUCGGCCGAGGCUCGGCACAACACAAACCCUCCUGGAAAGGGCCGUGCUGCACAGUGUGCAUCCCGGGGAGCAGGGGCAACUGCUUCCUUCUUUGGGCCGCCGUAA